UUCGAUUGUUUACCUUUCAUUUUCCAAUCACUUAGCACUUGAAUUGAUCUCAUCUAAGUGCUGAAAUUGGUGAGGAAAUACUCGAAUCAAACUCAUUUUGGUGCUAGAAUCUCAUGUACUAAAGCUCUGUUUUCUUAGCAACAUUAUCGAAUGAUGGCAAUUUUUUCCAAAGAUGCCGAGAUAAGAAUGACGAAUUUCACUACGCAGCAACUCAUUCCGAUUACCUCGUAAUGAAAUCAAGGACUUGUUUGGUUGGUGAUAAGUGAGUUGGAAAUUUUCUAAGUUUCCAAGAAAUAUUUGACUUGUUUAGUUGGGACUGAAGUAAUGAAGUCUUUGCAAAUUCCCAAGGGAAUACAACGCGUUCUUUUCAGAACUUUAAACACUGAUAGGAAGCUUAUGUACCAAACCGAGUUCGAUUCAAGCUAUGUUGGGAUCGUGAAGGAUGGGGCAGAAUGGAUUGUAGAGAACACAGACAUCAAGCUCGUUGGAAUUGAUUACUUGUCUAUUGCAACAUAUGACGAUGCCGUUCCAACCCAUCAAGCAUUACUGAGAAGCAGAGAAAUUGUUGUGGUGGAGGGCCUAAAACUUGAAGACAUUGAAGCAGGAAUAUAUGAUCUGCAUUGCUUGCCCAUUAGGGUGCUUGGUGCUGAUGGAACACCAACAAGAUGCGUUCUUAUGGAAUAAAUGAUCUGUGAUAUGAUGUGAAAGCUAGCUGGUCCUUAAUUAUGCCUUUAUUAUGGAAAUAAAUCACGAGGUUAAUUAUGCUCUUGGUUAUAUAUAUGAUAAUAAUCAAUGCUUACUAUGAUGGCUUGCUGUUAUUGUAAAUUUAAUAUACUCAAUUAAUUUUUAAGAUUUAAAAUUAUGAAAUAUAC
rnacentral:misc_RNA from 1 species